rnacentral:rRNA from 1 species
GACGGGGGGGGCAAGUGUUCUUCGGAAUUACUGGGCGUAAAGCGCACGUAGGCGGCUUCUUAAGUCGGUGGUGAAAUCCUGGAGCUCAACUCCAGAACUGCCUUCGAUACUGGGAGCUCGAGUCCGGGAGAGGUGAGUGGAACUGCGAGUGUAGAGGUGAAAUUCGUAGAUAUUCGCAAGAACACCAGUGGCGAAGGCGGCUCACUGGCCCGGUACCGACGCUGAGGUGCGAAAGCGUGGGGAGCAAACAGG